CAACACAAAGAUCUAAGGGGCAACAAAUCGACUUAGACUUCACUAAAAACCAGUCGACUGAUUUUUAGCAGAGCCGUUAGAAAUAACAAUCAGAGAGAUAUCCCGAGUAAUUUAUUCAUCCAUGAAGGAGGAGGACAUACAAUUUACAAACCAACAAAAGCAACCAGCAGCAUACAACUGUCGACUCAUCAGACAUCAUCAGUCCCAAACAUACACGGUCCGUUCAUACAUGAUACAUUAACUAUCACUGGACUCUCGUUUCGAAAGAAAAAAAAACUAUCACUGGACUCAGGCACAGAUAGACCAGCAGCAUAUCCUCAGAGGAACCUGUUGAGUAAGUCGUCGACGGUGGUGUACUUGACGUCAGGGUACAGCUCGCUCGCCUCCACGCC
rnacentral:lncRNA from 1 species